rnacentral:rRNA from 1 species
GGUUAAGCGACUAAGCGUACACGGUGGAUGCCCUGGCAGUCAGAGGCGAUGAAGGGCGUGCUAAUCUGCGAUAAGCGCCGGUAAGGUGAUAUGAACCGUUAUAACCGGCGAUACCCGAAUGGGGAAACCCAGUGUGACUCGUCACACUAUCAUUAACUGAAUCCAUAGGUUAAUGAGGCGAACCGGGGGAACUGAAACAUCUAAGUACCCCGAGGAAAAGAAAUCAACCGAGAUUCCCCCAGUAGCGGCGAGCGAACGGGGAGGAGCCCAGAGCCUGAAUCAGCAUGUGUGUUAGUGGAAGCGUCUGGAAAGGCGCGCGAUACAGGGUGACAGCCCCGUACACAAAAGCGCAUGUGCUGUGAGCUCGAUGAGUAGGGCGGGACACGUGGUAUCCUGUCUGAAUAUGGGGGGACCAUCCUCCAAGGCUAAAUACUCCUGACUGACCGAUAGUGAACCAGUACCGUGAGGGAAAGGCGAAAAGAACCCCGGCGAGGGGAGUGAAAAAGAACCUGAAACCGUGUACGUACAAGCAGUGGGAGCCCCACCACUAAGCCAGUGGUGAACUCCACAUACGCAUCCUUUGCUGAGGAUACGGUUAACGGAGCGAAAGCGACGUUCAACCGCAAAAGAAGCAGAGGGGGCUUAGUGGUGGGGUGACUGCGUACCUUUUGUAUAAUGGGUCAGCGACUUAUAUUCUGUAGCAAGGUUAACCGAAUAGGGGAGCCGGAGGGAAACCGAGUCUUAACCGGGCGUUAAGUUGCAGGGUAUAGACCCGAAACCCGGUGAUCUAGCCAUGGGCAGGUUGAAGGUUGGGUAACACUAACUGGAGGACCGAACCGACUAAUGUUGAAAAAUUAGCGGAUGACCUGUGGCUGGGGGUGAAAGGCCAAUCAAACCGGGAGAUAGCUGGUUCUCCCCGAAAGCUAUUUAGGUAGCGCCUCGUGAAUUCAUCUCCGGGGGUAGAGCACUGUUUCGGCUAGGGGGCCAUCCCGGCUUACCAACCCGAUGCAAACUGCGAAUACCGGAGAAUGUUAUCACGGGAGACACACGGCGGGUGCUAACGUCCGUCGUGAAGAGGGAAACAACCCAGACCGCCAGCUAAGGUCCCAAAGUCAUGGUUAAGUGGGAAACGAUGUGGGAAGGCCCAGACAGCCAGGAUGUUGGCUUAGAAGCAGCCAUCAUUUAAAGAAAGCGUAAUAGCUCACUGGUCGAGUCGGCCUGCGCGGAAGAUGUAACGGGGCUAAACCAUGCACCGAAGCUGCGGCAGCGACACUAUGUGUUGUUGGGUAGGGGAGCGUUCUGUAAGCCUGUGAAGGUGGCCUGUGAGGGUUGCUGGAGGUAUCAGAAGUGCGAAUGCUGACAUAAGUAACGAUAAAGCGGGUGAAAAGCCCGCUCGCCGGAAGACCAAGGGUUCCUGUCCAACGUUAAUCGGGGCAGGGUGAGUCGACCCCUAAGGCGAGGCCGAAAGGCGUAGUCGAUGGGAAACGGGUUAAUAUUCCCGUACUUGGUGUUACUGCGAAGGGGGGACGGAGAAGGCUAUGUUGGCCGGGCGACGGUUGUCCCGGUUUAAGCGUGUAGGUGUGUGUUCCAGGUAAAUCCGGUUCACUUUAACACUGAGGCGUGAUGACGAGGCACUACGGUGCUGAAGCAACAAAUGCCCUGCUUCCAGGAAAAGCCUCUAAGCAUCAGGUAACAUCAAAUCGUACCCCAAACCGACACAGGUGGUCAGGUAGAGAAUACCAAGGCGCUUGAGAGAACUCGGGUGAAGGAACUAGGCAAAAUGGUGCCGUAACUUCGGGAGAAGGCACGCUGACAUGUAGGUGAAGUGAUUUACUCAUGGAGCUGAAGUCAGUCGAAGAUACCAGCUGGCUGCAACUGUUUAUUAAAAACACAGCACUGUGCAAACACGAAAGUGGACGUAUACGGUGUGACGCCUGCCCGGUGCCGGAAGGUUAAUUGAUGGGGUCAGCGCAAGCGAAGCUCCUGAUCGAAGCCCCGGUAAACGGCGGCCGUAACUAUAACGGUCCUAAGGUAGCGAAAUUCCUUGUCGGGUAAGUUCCGACCUGCACGAAUGGCGUAAUGAUGGCCAGGCUGUCUCCACCCGAGACUCAGUGAAAUUGAACUCGCUGUGAAGAUGCAGUGUACCCGCGGCAAGACGGAAAGACCCCGUGAACCUUUACUAUAGCUUGACACUGAACAUUGAGCCUUGAUGUGUAGGAUAGGUGGGAGGCUUUGAAGUGUGGACGCCAGUCUGCAUGGAGCCGACCUUGAAAUACCACCCUUUAAUGUUUGAUGUUCUAACGUGGACCCGUAAUCCGGGUUGCGGACAGUGUCUGGUGGGUAGUUUGACUGGGGCGGUCUCCUCCUAAAGAGUAACGGAGGAGCACGAAGGUUGGCUAAUCCUGGUCGGACAUCAGGAGGUUAGUGCAAUGGCAUAAGCCAGCUUGACUGCGAGCGUGACGGCGCGAGCAGGUGCGAAAGCAGGUCAUAGUGAUCCGGUGGUUCUGAAUGGAAGGGCCAUCGCUCAACGGAUAAAAGGUACUCCGGGGAUAACAGGCUGAUACCGCCCAAGAGUUCAUAUCGACGGCGGUGUUUGGCACCUCGAUGUCGGCUCAUCACAUCCUGGGGCUGAAGUAGGUCCCAAGGGUAUGGCUGUUCGCCAUUUAAAGUGGUACGCGAGCUGGGUUUAGAACGUCGUGAGACAGUUCGGUCCCUAUCUGCCGUGGGCGCUGGAGAACUGAGGGGGGCUGCUCCUAGUACGAGAGGACCGGAGUGGACGCAUCACUGGUGUUCGGGUUGUCAUGCCAAUGGCACUGCCCGGUAGCUAAAUGCGGAAGAGAUAAGUGCUGAAAGCAUCUAAGCACGAAACUUGCCCCGAGAUGAGUUCUCCCUGAGACUUAGAGUCUCCUGAAGGAACGUUGAAGACGACGACGUUGAUAGGCCGGGUGUGUAAGCGCAGCGAUGCGUUGAGCUAACCGGUACUAAUGAACCGUGAGGCUUAACCUU